rnacentral:rRNA from 1 species
AUUGAACGCUGGCGGCAGGCCUAACACAUGCAAGUCGAGCGAGCGGCGGACGGGUGAGUAAUGUCUGGGAAACUGCCUGCUGGAGGGGGAUAUCUACUGGAAACGGUAGCCAAUACCGUAUACCAUCAGAUGUGCCCAGAUGGGAUUAGCUGGUAGGUGGGGUAACGGCUCACCUGGGCGACGAUCCCUAGCUGGUAUGAGAGGAUGACCAGCCACACGGGAACUGAGACACGGUCCAGACUCCUACGGGAGGCAGCAGUGGCGAAUAUUGCACAAGAGGCGCAAGCCUGAUGCAGCCAUGCCGCGUGUGUGAAGGAGGCCUUCGGGUUGUAAAGCACUUUCAGCGGGGAGGCGUUACCCGCAGAAGAAGCACCGGCUAACUCCGUGCCAGCAGCCGCGGUAAUAC